GACGAACGCUGGCGGCGUGCCUAAUACAUGCAAGUAGAACGCUGAAGGAGGAGCUUGCUUCUCUGGAUGAGUUGCGAACGGGUGAGUAACGCGUAGGUAACCUGCCUGGUAGCGGGGGAUAACUAUUGGAAACGAUAGCUAAUACCGCAUAAGAGUAGAUGUUGCAUGACAUUUGCUUAAAAGGUGCAAUUGCAUCACUACCAGAUGGACCUGCGUUGUAUUAGCUAGUUGGUGGGGUAACGGCUCACCAAGGCGACGAUACAUAGCCGACCUGAGAGGGUGAUCGGCCACACUGGGACUGAGACACGGCCCAGACUCCUACGGGAGGCAGCAGUAGGGGAUCUUCGGCAAUGGACGGAAGUCUGACCGAGCAACGCCGCGUGAGUGAAGAAGGUUUUCGGAUCGUAAAGCUCUGUUGUAAGAGAAGAACGAGUGUGAGAGUGGAAAGUUCACACUGUGACGGUAUCUUACCAGAAAGGGACGGCUAACUACGUG
rnacentral:rRNA from 1 species